rnacentral:rRNA from 1 species
AAUCAACGCUGGCGGCGUGCCUAACACAUGCAAGUCGAACGCGAAAGUGGAGCAAUCCAUGAGUAGAGUGGCAAACGGGUGAGUAACACGUGGGUGACCUACCUUCGAAUGGGGGAUAACGUCCCGAAAGGGACGCUAAUACCGCAUGACAUCCCGCUUUUGAACAGGUGGAGAUCAAAGCCGGGGAUCGCAAGACCUGGCGUUUGAAGAGGGGCCCGCGUCUGAUUAGCUAGUGGUGAGGUAACGGCCCACCAAGGCGACGAUCAGUAUCCGGCCUGAGAGGGCGGACGGACACACUGGGACUGAGACACGGCCCAGACUCCUACGGGAGGCAGCAGUGGGGAAUUGUUCGCAAUGGGCGCAAGCCUGACGACGCAACGCCGCGUGGAGGAUGAAGGUCUUCGGAUUGUAAACUCCUGUUGCCCGGGACGAAAAGCGUCGACCUAACACGUCGAUGUCUGACGGUACCGGGUGAGGAAGCCCCGGCUAACUCUGUGCCAGCCGCCGCAGU